AGUGAACGCUGGCGGUAGGCCUAACACAUGCAAGUCGAACGGCAGCACAGUAAGAGCUUGCUCUUACGGGUGGCGAGUGGCGGACGGGUGAGGAAUACAUCGGAAUCUACUUUUUCGUGGGGGAUAACGUAGGGAAACUUACGCUAAUACCGCAUACGACCUACGGGUGAAAGCAGGGGAUCUUCGGACCUUGCGCGAUUGAAUGAGCCGAUGUCGGAUUAGCUAGUUGGCGGGGUAAAGGCCCACCAAGGCGACGAUCCGUAGCUGGUCUGAGAGGAUGAUCACCCACACUGGAACGGAGACACGGUCCAGACUCCUACGGGAGGCAGCAGUGGGGAAUAUUGGACAAUGGGCGCAAGCCUGAUCCAGCCAUACCGCGUGGGUGAAGAAGGCCUUCGGGUUGUAAAGCCCUUUUGUUGGGAAAGAAAAGCAGCAGGUUAAUACCCCGCUGUUCUGACGGUACCCAAAGAAUAAGCACCGGCUAACUUCGU
rnacentral:rRNA from 1 species